rnacentral:rRNA from 1 species
UCGGGAAUUUUGGGCAAUGGGCGAAAGCCUGACCCAGCAACGCCGCGUGAAGGAUGAAAUCCCUCGGGAUGUAAACUUCGCAAGAAUAGGAAGAAUUAGUAGGGGUCAAUACCCCCUAUGAUGACGGUACUAUUUGUAAGCUCCGGCUAACUCCGUGCCAGCAGCCGCGGUAAUACGGGGGGAGCAAGCGUUGUUCGGAUUUACUGGGCGUAAAGGGCGCGUAGGCGGCCAGCACAAGUCGGUUGUGAAAUCUCCGGGCUUAACUCGGAAAGGUCAACCGAUACUGUGCGGCUAGAGUGCGGAAGGGGCAACUGGAAUUCUCGGUGUAGCGGUGAAAUGCGUAGAUAUCGAGAGGAACACCUGCGGCGAAGGCGGGUUGCUGGGCCGACACUGACGCUGAUGCGCGAAAGCCAGGGGAGCGAACGGGAUUAGAUACCCCGGUAGUCCUGGCCUUAAACGAUGGAUGCUUGGUGUCUGGGGUUUUAUAGUCCCCGGGUGCCGUAGCUAACGCGUUAAGCAUCCCGCCUGGGGAGUACGGUCGCAAGACUGA